rnacentral:rRNA from 1 species
GUGAACGCUGGCGGUAGGCCUAACACAUGCAAGUCGAACGGCAGCACCGUAAGAGCUUGCUCUUACGGGUGGCGAGUGGCGGACGGGUGAGGAAUACAUCGGAAUCUACUUUUUCGUGGGGGAUAACGUAGGGAAACUUACGCUAAUACCGCAUACGACCUACGGGUGAAAGUAGGGGAUCUUCGGACCUUGCGCGAUUGAAUGAGCCGAUGUCGGAUUAGCUAGUUGGCGGGGUAAAGGCCCACCAAGGCGACGAUCCGUAGCUGGUCUGAGAGGAUGAUCAGCCACACUGGAACUGAGACACGGUCCAGACUCCUACGGGAGGCAGCAGUGGGGAAUAUUGGACAAUGGGCGCAAGCCUGAUCCAGCCAUACCGCGUGGGUGAAGAAGGCCUUCGGGUUGUAAAGCCCUUUUGUUGGGAAAGAAAAGCAGCAGGUUAAUACCCCGCUGUUCUGACGGUACCCAAAGAAUAAGCACCGGCUAACUUCGUG